AAGACCUUGCGCUUUUGGAGCGGCCGAUGCCUGAUUAGCUUGUUGGUAAGGUAAAAGCUUACCAAGGCUUCGAUCGGUAGCUGGUCUGAGAGGACGGCCAGCCACACUGGGACUGAGACACGGCCCAGACUCCUACGGGAGGCAGCAGUGGGGAAUUUUGGACAAUGGGGGCAACCCUGAUCCAGCCAUGCCGCGUGAGUGAAGAAGGCCUUCGGGUUGUAAAGCUCUUUCAGCCGGAACGAAACGGUUACGGUUAAUACCCGUGAUUACUGACGGUACCGGAAGAAGAAGCACCGGCUAACUACGUGCCAGCAGCCGCGGUAAUACGUAGGGUGCGAGCGUUAAUCGGAAUUACUGGGCGUAAAGCGUGCGCAGGUGGUUUUGUAAGUCAGAUGUGAAAGCCCCGGGCUCAACCUGGGAACU
rnacentral:rRNA from 1 species